GCCUUCGUAGCUCAAUGGUCAGAGCGUCAGACUUUUAAUCUGAAUGUUGCGAGUUCGAGUCUCGCCGAGGGCG